rnacentral:misc_RNA from 1 species
UCACUAUUUGAGAAAAUACCCCA